CUGAUGCUCACUAUUGGUAAGAGACAUUGGAGCAGACACCUGAAGGAAGUGAGGAGGUGAGGCAGCCAUCUGGAGAAGAGUGUGCUAAGUGAAGGAAGGGAUGUGAACACGGAAGUCCUCAGGAAGAGAGAACACAGGAUUCCAAGCAAUAUUGUCAAAGAAGAUGGAUCAUGAAGAAAGAGCAGACUACGAUGUCCACGAGGGCUGAAAUUUGCAUCCUGUGACAGAGGAGGUAAGUAAGCAACCCAGCAUGUCACAGUGGAAAGAGGACUGGAU